UCGCUGGCAGUCGCGCUCGCCCACUCCAUGCGAAGCACUCCACCUCGAAGCUCGUGCGAAGAGAUGAAGCGCACGCCCAAGAGUGAGGUGAGCGUGUCCGCCUUGAGGCCGGUUGC
rnacentral:SRP_RNA from 14 species